rnacentral:rRNA from 1 species
UACGGAAGGCAGCAGUGGGGAAUAUUGCACAAUGGGCGCAAGCCUGAUGCAGCCAUGCCGCGUGUAUGAAAAAGGCCUUCGGGUUGUAAAGUACUUUCAGUCGUGAGGAAGGUGUUAAGGUUAAUAACCUUAGCAAUUGACGUUAGCGACAGAAGAAGCACCGGCUAACUCCGUGCCAGCAGCCGCGGUAAUACGGAGGGUGCGAGCGUUAAUCGGAAUUACUGGGCGUAAAGGGCACGCAGGCGGUUAAUUAAGUUGGAUGUGAAAUCCCGGGGCUUAACCUGGGAAUGGCAUUCAAGACUGGUUAGCUAGAGUCUUGUAGAGGGGGUAGAAUUCCAUGUGUAGCGGUGAAAUGCGUAGAGAUGUGGAGGAAUACCGGUGGCGAAGGCGGCCCCUGGACAAAGACUGACGCUCAUGUGCGAAAGCGUGGGGAGCAAACG